UACUCCUUUUCUUUCAACGCUCUGAAGCACACUAAGGGUCACUCCAAAUAGCUGAAGGUUUAUUUUAAACACAAAGAGGUAGUAUUUGUAUCCUGGUUGUCAUUUGUUAAUUGCAGUAAGUUAAUAGGCUUCAUCAUAGUUAUUCACUUCAGAGAAUUUUUAUAAUCAGUCCAAGCCUUAAUGAAUUAAAACUGCUGAUAUGAAUAACAAUAACUGUGAAUCAGAACUUGCAAUGUGAAUGAAAUAUUGAUAUCUUUACACACAUCCUAAAAAAACUAAUCUUCAAACCUUUAUUAUGAACUGAAAUUAUAUUAUAAUAGAAAAAAUUCAUGGUGCUACACAGAUAUAAUGAACACAUCUUAAACUUCUGAGUUAACAUUCUUCUUUUUUCAUUACUUGGUAUCAUUCUCUGUCCUGGAGUUUACAUGAACCAGUUUGCUGCCCCUAUUCCUCCCAUUUUUAAGUCAUUCUUUGAAACUUUCAGAUGUCUUUCCUCUUCCUUAAAUAACUUAAUUGGCCCCAUGCACCCAAUAAGCAAAUUUAUAUUGGGCCCCAUCUCCUUUGUUGCUGUCCCUGAUGCACAGAAGGCUCCCCAACUGUACCUUAUCUCCCCACUCCUCUUAAAAGAGCUCUGGCUUUGUGCUUUGCUCCUCUUCCUGCUCCCAACCUAUGAAAAUAGUCGUGGCCCAACCUCUGCCCUGCCCUUUGCCUCCAUUUUUCCUUCUUUGAAAAAUGUAGGGUCUCAAGUUACUUGGUUCCUCCUCUCCUUCCUCUUAAAAAUCAACUGGUAGCAUCUAGGCUUCUCUGGUUUAGUCCAUCCUGUUAAAGAAGCACCAUGGUAGGGCUAGAGUUCUCCUUGAUCCUCUUUUCAGACUUAACUGUUCCAAAAAACAAACAGAAAACUGGAAACACACCCACUGACAAAGCUGAACUCCACGCUGAACUGUCUCAUUUUGUUGGCUGAUAAGCCCUGCCCCCUUUGUUCUGAGUGUUUGCUUUUAAUUUUUAAGUAAUAAUUGUUGAUCAAAACAAAUUCUUUCUUUUGUAGAACAUUAAGCUUAGUUGACUCUGUAGGUAAAACAGUACAUAUGUACAUGCAGGUUUAUGGAGAUAAGAGUUAAUUGUGAAAAUUAAAUUAAAUCAAAAAGGACUGACAUUUUUUCUUUUUUCUAAUUUAGUAUUUGUGUUGACAGAAUGGAGUUGUGCAUCCAAAGAGAAAGCUAAUAACAUACAGUAUGUUAUGGUUUCAAAUAAUAAAUGUUAUAAUCAUUUUCAUCUCAAUGCUCAUCUGAAGAAUAUACUAUAUUCACUUUAAAGAAAGGCUUUACAGUGGUGAUCACUUACACCGCUUUAGUAAGGGUCUAUUAGCAUUCCUGUUAAAAAUCAGUAUUCUCAGUGUUUAUAACUGAGUUUAAAUACAUUGCUACAGAUUGAAAUUGGCCAUAUGAAACCAGAUUUUCAACUGGGCAUGUACAAAAGUGAUAGGCCAGAAAAAAAUGUGGUUGCAUGUUUUGAUUAGGUUCAGCGGUAGAAAUAGUCAGGAAGCAAAUAGUCACAAAUGAUUGGGCCUUUUAAAUUAUUGAUCUUUUUUACCUCUUGUGUUUUUUUUAUUUGGAAUUUUGGAACAUAUUUAGACAUAAUUGUAGCAUAUAAGUAACUAUUUUAUUUUUUUCUUGCAAGGAAAAAUUUGUCUGUGGAAAACUGAUUUGAUGGAAAUAAUGACUAGCUGCAUUCCUAAAACUUUAUUAUGCAGAGUGGCAUAUAGACUUUGCUUAAUUAUAUGCACUGUGUAUAUGGAAUUUGAUUUGGGCAUUUGAAUCAGUCAAAUACAUAACUGCUGACAUUUCCCGCAUUUACAUAUAUGCCUUCUCAUUUUGCUCUUUGGUCAAGAAGUAGUCUGCCUCUUAUCAUAAUAAUUUAAAAUUGCAUAUCAUUUAAUGCUUUGCCUGCUUAUAUUAAGCUUUAGUCUUUUCAGUAAUUUUGUAAAGGCUGUUGACUUCUUAGGUAGCUAUCAGUUUGUCAUACAUCUAGUUUAAGUGGUCUCCAGUCCUUUUGUUUGUGUGAAUCAAUGUUUUAAUUGCAAAAAGACAACUAUUCUUUCAUUACUAUGGUAACCAAAUAAACCCAGGAUAUAGAAAUGAUUCACACAAAUUUAGAAUAAAGCAAAGAUCUACUGUAUGCUUUAAGUUAACAGCUGAACUAUUGGAAGAAAGAUGAAGUGAGAGGAAUUAAUGUAAAAACAAGUAAGAUAAGACUUGAUUGUAUAAUUGCUGCAAUCCAUAACCUAUACUGAUUGAGUAGAGGUGGUAGAUGAGUCAUUUCUAGCACAAAUAGCAGAAAUAUCCAAAACACAAGAUCUGGUAAUAAAGGGGGACUUAAUUAUUGAGACAUCUGUUGGAAAAGUAGUACAGCAAAACACAAAAUUUCCAAUAAGUUUUUGGAAUGUAUUGUUUCAGAAAGCAGACAAAAUAACCAGGGGAACAGCCAUUUCAGACUUGAUUCUGACCAACAUGGAAGAAUCAGUUGCACAUCUGAAGGUAGAAGGCAAUUUGGCUGAAAGUGGUUGUGAAAUAAUGGAUUUCAUGUUUCUAAGGAAAGGAAGAAGUGAAAGUGGCACAAUAAAGACAAUGGACUUCAAAAAAGCAGACCUAAAUAACUUAGACACUGGCAGUGGCCGGUGCCAGAUGCCUCAGAGGGAAUGAACAGAACAGGGCAGUUUAUCAAGUGGUUCACGUCUGUCGUCCAGACCCAGCUUCUGGCAGUCAGAGGUUUAGAGACAUCCAGAGCAUGGGAUUGCGUCCCUGACCACCUUAGCUAAUAGCCAUUGAUGGACCUAUGCUCCAUAAACUUCUUUAAUUUUUUUUCAAACCCAGUUAUGCAUAGUGCAUAUCAAAAGAACUCUCACCUCUUAGCUCCAUUCAUGAGUAGUCUGAACAGAGCUAUGAGAUUUGUAUUUUAGGUUGGCACUUUGUACUAAAUCUUCCUUCCUUUUCUUGGGUAUAUCUCUUGUUGAGUACCUGACUUCCUGGGCAUCAGGAUUGACAGUAGCAUCACUCACAAUUUGUCAUUAGGGGGUGCUGAGGAGUGUUGUAGUGCACGCUUUCUUCUCUAUCCCCCUCAGCCCACACAAACAGAGUACUGAUAUUGCAAUGGACUCCCUAGUGUUGCUUGGUAGGAUACAGUUGCUCAGAGCUAUUACAAACUAUCAGUUAAAAAACAAAAGCGGCAUUAUAUUACAAUUGGUUGUGUUCCAGCUCGAAAGAACUGCUAUGGUUUAUGAUGACAUAUUACAUAUACGGUACAUACUUUCAUGAAAGUGUUUUAAAUGCUACUAUAACAUCAAAACAAACAAAACUCCUGAAUUAAGACUAACUACAUCCUGAUUUUCAAUCUUUGGCUCACCUUGUUGUCUGUUGGACAUGACAUGUCCUUUUGAGACCUCUGAAAUACCUGGGAAUGUCAGGAUAAGGGAUCUAAGAAUGGUGUGUCAGCCAUCAAUUUUGUGAUUGCCUAUAUUCUCUGGGUUUCUCAGACGCUUAAUGAAAACCGUAGUUAAGAAUGCUUUUGUGAUUUUAUUUUUGCUUUGCUUCAAUUUUUAGGUGAUCCACCUUUUCCCUACCAUUUCAAGAGUUUUCUGUAAAAUGUGUAUACAUGCAUCUGACAACUAAUUCAUUCAUAAUGCUUGUCAGGUUUUUAAAAGAUUAUAUAGCUAAUUUAUAAUAUAAAUGAAAUACCUUUUUCUUUAUUGCAUCCUGGGAUUUGUCUUCAUAAUCUUGUUUAAACAGUUCUUCGAAAAUGUCUGUAUCAUACUCAUAAAGAUUGAGUGACUCUUGUUGAAUUGGAGGUACUAACUUCACCAAAGGCA